ACUUUAUAUUCUAUAGUACAAUCAGGUUAAUUGUGUUGAUGUUUGUACUGUGGUUUUAACUUCUUUUUACACUCGGCAACAUGUGCUGAGAAGUUAAAAAACGAGAUGCGUGAGACACAUCAAAAAUUUGUUUUUCCGUCUCAAUGCGACCAACACUAAAUAUCCUUUGCAAUAUUCCCCAGGUAUGAAUUUGUUUGAGUUUCCUUGAUCGACCUUACGAGGUUCCACUGUAUGAGGUUUAUAGAAGUGUUAAGCUUCUCAAGUCUUUGAAGUAAAAAACAAAAAUCUAUUCAGCAGAGAUAGCACAUGUGUCUGGGGCGCUGCCGGCAAAGGUGGCAUCAAACCAAUUUGACAUUUAGGCGAGUACGAGACAAGUUAGCUCAUGUUUGUUCAUAAUUAGAUAACAAAAUCCAUCAAUGCGGGGGUUGAAUUUCAAGUCGACAUCAACUCUUUGGCCAUUCUUUGACCGCCCCAGCACCGUGCGUGCAUCUAUGCUCUGCAAAGGAAACUUUCAAGAUCAGAUCAGAUUCUGCUGGAUGUCGGUAUGUUUGCAGGAGCCGGUCGAGCAGGUAUUUUAUCUCUCAGAAACUGCUGGUGCCUCUGUGGCGAAGCCACACAAUCUAUGUCAAGAAAUCAGUACUUUCAAACUUCUUACAUGUUUAUAUGAACAAAAAAA